AACUUCUUAGUAUAGUCCAUUACAACUACCUUCCAAGUAGAAAACUUAAAUAUUUUAAAGAAGUUA
rnacentral:tRNA from 1 species